AAUAGAUAGUUUAUUUAAAGCAUUAGUUUUGGAGACUAAAGAUAUUUUAUUUUUCUAUUGAG
rnacentral:tRNA from 1 species